AAGAGAGAGAGAAAGAGAAAGGCUGUCACCAGCAGCCCUGCUGCCCAUUGCAGCAGCUGCAACGUGCAGCAAGAGAGCUGGGAGUUGAGUUUGAGUGAAGUGAUCCUCCUCCUCCAUGUAUUUAUUGUAUCCUUUCUCUAUCUGUAAAUAAAAUAUUGACUCUCCCGUGGAUGUAGGCGAUUUGCUGAACCACGUUAAAUAUUGUGUCUCAGUGUGCUUACCCUCCUAUGAGCAAUUAUCAGUGGUGUUUGAUGGUUUAAGUGGUGUUUGAUUUUUUGCUCAAAAAUGAAAGUUGUCCAAAUGGUGUUUUGACCAUACCAUUGUGUACAGGAAGACGAGACGAAGCCUCUGGUGAAACUGGUGUCAAAAUCGGACGUCGAAUAUGGCCGCACUCUCCGGCAAGGCGUUUGCCCACGCGCGCAGACGUGCCCCACGCGUCUUCUUCACCUAGAUGGGUUGACCACACCCGAAUACCAGACGACCCGACCCACGUGGCUGACCCGGGUAAGGAUGACGUCAACAUGACGUAAUUAUGACGUCAUCCGCACAAUAGAAUGGCCCAGGAUGACAUUAGCAUGAUGUAAUGGUGACGUCAGCAUGCCAUGUCAGCACCUGUCAGAGACACGUCGACACAGAGGGACCCACCGACCACGUCAUCAGCCGCGAGCCGAGCCGAGGGAAAUGAUUCUGUGAAGCAGAGUCUAUACGCAACCGGAUCUGAGAUUGAAUUUGAGCCGUUGAUCAGGCUAUAAUUGUUUUGAUCAAAUCUUAGUCGUCUGAAGUGCGAUUUGGACGAUUCAAGACAUGUUUCCAGCUAAUUUGAUCAUUACGGAUGCAAUGGUACGGUCUGAUCAUUGAGAUUUGAGACCAAAAAUGGCGGUGGUGAAUUAUUAAAGAGAGGUUGCCCGAUCAGUAGGCAUCUGAAGGUCAUUAUGGUGGUCGAUGAAGAUGAAGAAGAAGAAGGUGCACAUGUUUUCCCAAUUAAAUGUGUUGAACUGUUAAAUGGGGAAAUGUAAUGCCUUGAAGGAAGGAAAAAUUGGGACUCUCUAGACACCUGGUUAUGUGGACAAUUAGAGGUGUAGAGUUAAAAUUGACGAAGACCAAUCUUGACGAAUCUAAGCAUUGAUAGUCUCACCAGAUGUUGAGAAAUCAGGUAUAAAACCAGGAUACCCAGAUCACUUGUAAAGGAAAGCCGCAACAAAGCUAGCAAAUGGUUGUAUAUAUGGAAAGGCAGUGCGAUGGAUAUAUAUGGCCUAAGAAGUUCUGGCUAGGAGAUUGGGUUUUAUGCGAGACCGGUGUGACCCCUCCAAUCUUUCCUGGGAACUUGCUUAGUGGAAGGAUUAUUUAUACGGUACUAUUUUCGUAUAUAUAGCAGUUUGUAAUGAAACGGUUGAAGACUAGCAGGAUGACGGCACAAGGGGAACAGUUGGGUUCCGUAUGAUCAAGGAUCUGAUGGAGUGGUGAUUUCUCCAAAGAAAUUAGAUUCGGUGACUGUAAUUUCUCAAGGGGAGAAUUGAUGAAGACCCUGAUAAUGGAAGAGAAAUACAGCAAGGGGAUAAGGAUUGGCACCCUAUUUUGACUUGGACAGGUGUUGUGACAGGAUGAACUGUUGUCAAACAUAAGCAAGGAAUAGGGAGAAAUCUGGAGAACCAAAAUUGCACGAGAGCACACGGAGAUUGUGCAGGAGUACCCGGAGGAUCCAACGAGGUACUGUAAUGAGACAACAAGUGCAAGGAGAAGAAAAUUUCCCAGAUGAAGCUUAGAGCAGAGACUGUGUAAAGGUUGUACAACAUGAAGUCUCUUAUGCUCUUGAUGAAGACAACAGGCGAAGACCUUUCCAAUGCAUGCAAGGAUGGAAAAGUGAGCUGUUGUAGAGGCACCUAAUUGAGGGGGUGCAAACGCUUGUGAUAAAAGGCAACUGCCUAUGAAAGGCAAAGACACCAAAGAGAAUUGGUGUAGGUGGAGCUGUUAAGCACAAUGAUGAAAGGAGUAGAAGCUCCAAACAUAGAAAUCGAGGUGGAGGAUUGCGAGGAGUAUACCGCAACUUUCUCUUUCUAUGUUAUCAGUGGCAGUAAUCUCUCCCAAGUCCACAUGGUGGUAGAGAAUCUUGGAGCCACUACAAGCAUCCCAGAUGAAGGAGGAUGAGACCGCUCUACGAUGAGCAGAGACACCUUAGAGAAGGUGUGAGGGCCGUGGUAAGAGCCCCAGUUCAGACCGCCUUAUAACAACAUGCGAAGACACCUUAGAAAAGGUGUGAGGGCCAUAAUAGGAGCCCCAUUUUAGACCGCCGCAUGACGACGAGCGGAGACACCCGAGGAGAAGGUGUGUGGGCCACGAUAUAAGCCCAAUUCAGAACGCCCCAGAGCCAAUGUAAUGGCUAGAUACGAGUGGACAGGUGUAUAGCCAAUAAAGUGGCUAUGAUGAGUAUGAAGACAAAUGCAGGAUUGACUUUCAUGGAUAUUGCCCCCAUGCUAAAGAUCAAUGAGCUAGAAGACAUUUGCCUUGGAAAAUAAGUGGGUGACUUGUGGAGCAUUAAGACGCGACUGCUAUGAAGGAGCAGAGGGCAUGCACAGGUUCCUGGAACAAGUUGACUCUUGUCAAGGUGGUGAGCUCGGUGAAGGCAUUGUAAUACUCACAGUAUCAAGACAUAUAUGGAUCAACCUUUAAUGGGCUGCCCCCAUAGGUAAAGAUGGAGAGUUACCUGGACUCUUGAGACUAAGAGCGGGAGACUCACGGAGAAGUAAGGCCUGGUUCCUAGAGUGGAACAGAUGGCAGGCGCAACUCCUGGAUGAGUAGACUCUUGGAAGAGUGGUGAGCUCGUGAUCAUAUUGAGAUACUCGGAUAAUGACUGUCGCACUUGGAAAUAAAAAUUUCCGUUUGAGGGGGUGUUGUAAGCCUUGGUGUGAGGCUUGAUAAAUCAUUCCGGACCGAGCAUGGUUGAUACGCUCGAAGGGAAAUGUUGUGUCCCAGAGAAAAACGUUAACACUCUUCAGAUGUGAUGUGUGCUUUGGUGACUCUAAUGAUUGAAAGGUUUGGCGAGUACCUGUCAACUUGGCCACAGAAGCUCUCGGAAUGGGAAGCUUGGAAAAGCUGCGGAAUGCAAACGUGUGCUGAUGAAGCAAGAGGACAAUUGUCCACAUAAAUGGCAAAGGAGGUGAUUGUUAGGAAAUUGUCAUUAUUGUGGUAACUACUCCACCACAACUUGUGCAAGUGGAAGCAUGAAUUAUGACAUAAUUCAUGCCACGUUUUAAGCCAUGUUUUAAGGCUUUAUUGUCCCCUCCAUGUUGACAAAAUGUGCUGGAGGAGCUCAUCCAUUUGCCUAUAAAAGAGGCAUGUUUUGAGAGCAUAUUGAGUGAGAGAUAACGUGAGAAUGUAGAGAGUGUGAAGAGAGAGAGAAAGAGAAGGGCUGCCACCAGCAGCCCUGCUGCCCAUUGCAACAACUGCAAGGUGCGGCAAGAGACCUGGGAGUUGAGUUUGAGUGAAGUGAUCCUUCUCCUCCAUGUAUUUAUUGUAUCCUUUCUCUAUCUCUAAAUAAAAUAUUGACUCUCCCGUGGAUGUAGGCGAUUUGUCGAACCACGUUAAAUAUUGUAUCUCAGUGUGCUUACCCUCCUAUAAGCAAUUAUCAGUACAUCACCGGUCGGAUUUCCCCAACAGUUUCUAGGUAAAUUCAUAAUGUCAAUGGCUUUGACACAUGGUUUUAUUUUCUUGCCAAUGGAAAGGCGAGUUAAGUUGCUUUGUGGUAAAUGAUGUUGAUAUGCUGUGUUGUUUGUGAAUGCCUGCUGCUAUAUUCUGGAAUGCAUCAUCAUCAUGGUUUUCCUGAAACUCCAGCCACCCGCCACUAAAACAUUUUCUUUCCUUCCUGAGCCAUAUGCAUGCUUGAAAAUCAAAAUCACAUCCUUUUUUUCUCCCCGUGGUUAACAAUUUAUCCUUCUUACUGAACCAUGGCAAUAGCAGAAUUGAGGUAUAUGGAGUUUGUGGUGGCCACGGCUGGGGUGGUUAGGGUAUUCGUCGAUCAUCCACUCCAAAUGUAACGUAUAAAACGCUUCCUUAAUGCCAAAGGACCAAAUCGGAAAGGAAUGGAAUAACAACACUGUUCUUAGGACACCAUGUUUCCUUGUAAGGAUCUGAUGUACAAAUUAUCUGUUAAGUAAAUGCCUAGUUCUUGUCUUCUUGUCAAUUAGGCUAGAAACUGCUGAAGAUUCGUGGGCUUAAUGAUAGUGGGCUAUGGAGUCUCGUUUGUAGAAUUAAAAGCUGGUUUGUAAUAUUGUAAUUGUAGCUUUCCUUUUUACAAUGUUUUUUUAUAUAUAUUAUAUUGAAAUA
rnacentral:lncRNA from 1 species